CCCCCACAGCAAACCUGAUGAAACAAAAGCUUUGAAUUGCUAUUUUUUUUUUUUUUUUUUUCCUUUUUUUUUUUUUUUUUUUUUUAAGGGGGAGAGUUAGAAAUUGGUAGUGUUAUAUUUGGAAUGUCAAAAGGGAAUGUUUUUACUUUUUCAGACAUUUUUUGCUUUUACUCAUUUAUUCUCUUCUUGGUAAGAUGCACGGUUUGGCCACAGGGAAAGCUAACUGGGCACUGGGGUGACUGCAUCUGUAGAUUUCGCUGUUCACCUCCUUCCAAGGAAAAAGCUUUAGCUGGAAGAUACAGCCCAGCUGUAGUGCAGUCAUUAAAUGUAUUGCUUUUGUACCUCUGGCAGAAUUGCAAUUAGUGUUUACAUUUCUGCAGUGAUCUGGAAUGGAGUGGAUGCCUAGAACAGAGGCUAAUACAAAGUACUUGUAGAUGCUUUACAGGUCUUUUGCCUUGCACUUCAGGGGGAAAAGGGAAGGGAGGGUCUUAAUGAUUGCUUUAGCAAAGGCUUAACCCAAUUUCUUUAAAGCAUUUUUUAAUUAAGAAAGACAAGAGAUGUAAACUAGGGUCUGCUGUAAUCUAGAAGGCUUGGUAAUUACAAAGCAAACACGAUGGGGAGCACCCUGUGUCUAUGCCACAGAAUCAAAGUAGGUUACACUUCUCCCUGAUUGCAUUUUGGUUUAUUAUUUGCCAGUAUCUCCUGGUAUGUAGCCACUGCUUGUUCGAAUGGCUCUUUCAUAUGUGUACAUAUAUGUGCAUUGGUCCAUGCAUGAAUGCAGGCUCGGUCCAGUCUUGCCGCAUUUUAGCUCUUGUGGGUUAAGCAGUGGCUGUGUAGAAAGAGAGUUGAGAAAUGAAUUGGUUUCAUAUAUUGUAGAACUGAAUUUUAUUGGAAUAAAUAAUCAAAUCUGCCACUGGAGAUCCCCUCCUUCAAGGGGAUGAGUUCCCUGCCCUCAGUCCAGAGGUGUAUCCAUUCAAGCCUGGAAAUCAUUACUCUAAGAUCAAGAAAUUAUCUGAUAUGUUUAAAAGUUAAGCAAAUGCUCAAGGGCUCUGCUGUUUAGGGGCCAGAGUAAUCAGUGUGGUGCAGGCAAGUGCUUCUAAUGUGGUACAAAGCUGGUUAAGGUUGAUUGCUAACCCCAGUAGUCUUUGGAUUGUGUUCUGCAUGGGUGCACUUGGAAAAGAUUAAAUUUUUGCAUUUGGACCCAUAUGGGCAGACAUAUGCUACAUCAGCGUCCUGUUGGCUUCAGUAUCAUCCUUGUGUCUGUUUGCAUCUAGCUGGAGGAUGUAGCCCAUAGCUCGUAGUGUCCUUAUGUUAUAGGUAAAUAAACGAACACAAGUCCUUUUGCUCAGUGAUUUGAUACCUAUAGGUGUAUGCAGAAGCAGUGGGGAGGAUGAGUGCCAUCAGGCAGUAGCACUGCCUUUGUGUCAGGCAGUACUUACAGUUGAUAUUGUGUUUAUGAAAACUGUGUUUAUGAGGCUGAGGCAUAAAACAAAGCCCAGCUUGCAAGGGUGAAAAGCAGGGAUCGGUAGGUAUAUGGUGCUAGCAGUCAUUUAACCCAAUCUGCCCACAGUAAAAUGCAACUCAGUACAGUGAACUGUGCAUUACCAGCACACUGCAGCCUUCCUCCAAUAGACAGGAUGUGGACAGGAGUCUGUACAUGGAGCUGUGUGGAAACAAACAGCAUGGCAGAGGCAGUGAGAGCACAGGGACCAUCAUCUCUGACUGGGCUGGUGAGCAGUAGCCUGCCUGAGCAAUCCCUGCUCAAAACAGGACUGUAAGCACUCAGCACACCAAUUUUGGUGUACUUUCCGUUAAAGUAUUGUGCAGUUCUGCUCCUUUUCUCUGGGCAAAUUAUUUCUCUUGGGUGCUUAUUUUUCCAUCUCCAGCUGUCUUGACUAUUUAGAAAUGCAUCAUCUUCAGUGUAGGGACUGCAGCUAUUCCUUGAAGUUUUCACAGCAUGGAGGCUCACCUUGAGCUUGUGCUUGUAGAUAUUUCAGCAGUGUCAAGAGCUGAUACCAAGAUAUCAAGCUGCUAUCAAGUGCAAAGUUAUAGAUAGAUCAAUGCACAGGCACUCAGCAAUUUGUAUGCCCAGACCUGCCAUUAUUUAUUUAGGGUCAAUCCAGAAAAUCAAACUAGUAGAAAUCAAUCUGCUGAAAUUCAGUGAAUCUGUGGUUACAGCUUGCAUGGUAAAUCUGAUCCUGCUGGUUUUGUAUUUGUGCUAUUUUUGACUCAUAAUUUUGUUUUGCUGGCUAGCUGUCUCAUUGCACAGUUCUUAGGAAUUUGAUAGCAAAAACAAAUGGAUACUACAUAUAAUUGUUAUGGUAUGGCCAGGAACUAUUUUUUAUAACAAAAUGCAAACACAGACACAGGUACAUGUAGGCAGUAUUGCACAGGGUACUGUUCAUCUAAUGAGCUUCACUGACUUGACUAUACGUGUGCCUCCAGCCUGUUCUACGUGCAAAGGAUUAACCCAUCUCCUGCUUCCCUUUGCAUUCAGCACAGGGCAAUUGUGCACAGUCAAUUCACGUAGCCCUGCAGAUGAUCAGUAACAGGGACAUUUAUUGUUAUUUUCUUGUAUCUUGAGUGCUGUCACUCACACCUGCAGGUACUUUUGGCUGGAAAUAACAGCCUUAAGUCUGCUGUCCUUGGAAAGGCCGGGCAUGUUAUUCUCGGUGAGGAAAAUGAUCAUAUUGCCACCUAACUCAGGUGAAGAGAUCAUUCUGAUGCAAUCAGAAAGAAAAGUCUCUCUAGUGGACUAUCUUGAGUUGAUGUUACUUGAGUGUUUCCAUUAUUUAUACGAACUCCCCAGGGUAGCCUUGUGCCGGACUACUGCAUAACGCUAGCUGGAGCAUUGAUAUAGAUACGUGUAUGUGUGUGUAUGCAUGCAUACUGAGAGUUCAGUUAGCCAAAUUUUUUAGUAAGGAUUUGAAUUUAUACCAGGUGGAAGUUUGUACCUGAGCUACAGAAAUUUACCAUUUUGCAUAAAAAAUAUUACUUUGUGAAAAUAUGUUUGUAAGAAAUGUUGCACUUUGCGUUUUUUCAAAGUAUGUCUUUCUGGGUAGAGAGGUUAGAAAAGAGAAGGAGUUUUUUGCAGUUUUCAGCCAAAACUAUUGUUUUGGGUUUUUUAUUUCUGAAAAUAAUAGUAGUAAAAUAGUUUAUGCAUGCAUCAUUUCUUCACAGUUUACUGCAGAUCUCAGCUUUCAAGAAAAUUCUGUUUGUCUGCAAGAACGUAUGGACACUUAGAAUUGAGCAGAGUCUUGAACGUAAUUUUAUGUAGUCAGAUGAGAACUCUGUAAUGUUUUGCUGGCAAGGGCAUCCCUCUAGAUGCCACUUUUCAAUGUGAAGCAUGACCUAUGACACACCAUAUGCCAAAGGACUCUUACUAUCAACACUAAUAAGUUCUUACAUCAGUGUUUUAGUUGUAUAAUAGCUAUUCAAAAACCUCAUAAAGAGGAAUUGCAGCAGACUUCAUCAGGAUAACAGUCUAUGGCCACGGUAAGGGCUAUGACUAGAUUUGCAUCUGUUUUAAGCAGUGAAGCUCUCUUAAGAGCAACCUACAAAUUCUCCAGAAUUAUCUAUUGGCCUGUCCAUGGAUCUGUGUUAACUCUCCUUAACAUCGUCAGGAUUAGCGGGCAGGGGCUGAGAGCAGAAAGAUUAUACUUUACUGUUCCCUACAGCUAUUUGAGACCUCCCUGUUGUCAUGAGAACCAUGCACCAGCUUGCAAUAUGUGCCUUCAGAGGCUUAACUCUGUAAGGUUGAGAAGGCUUCACCCCUCUCAGAAUAAUGUUUUCCAGGUCCUGAAGUACUCUCUCUGGAGGUACCUCAUCUGGCUUUGGGCAUCUACAACACUCCAGUGUAAACCCUUGCUCAUUGUACUGGCCUAAGGAAAUGCCAUGCCCCCAGAGCUGUUGAGCCGGUUCAUGUGGCUCCAUGGAUUAACUUAGUUCAGAAGCAUAAAAUACUUUCCUCCUCUUUCUCUAUUUCACCUGUGUCAUUUGCUGCCUGAGUGACUUUUUUUUUUUCUUUUUUUCUUUUGCUCUCCAACAAAAUACAGAAGCCUCAGAUUACCAAAACAGCUGCACAUGUUCUGGGUUAAUGCAUUUAAGUCAGGCUCCAGGGUCUGGGCAAGUGCCAAGAUCCUGGAUCAGCUGCUUUGCCGGAAUUAGGCUGCUGUAAUGGAGCCCUGCAUUAUUGUGUUGCAAUUAUUUUGGCUUGCAGCUGGCUGUUCACUCUAUUUUUUUACUGAAGUGAGAUAGAAGGAUUUUGUCUUAAAAAUAGAAUUUUCUUUUCAGAAUCUUAUAGAAGCUUGGAGUUACAUACCAUGCCUGUAAGAGGUGCCCUUCUGUUUAUCUUCAGAUUUGUCUUCAAGGAGAAGGGCAAGUAAUAUUUGUCAUAGUUUUUGAAGAGCAGGAACAAUGCUACUAGAUCUCAAAAUAGAAAAGUGUGUUGAAACAAGAAUAAAAUAAGUUAUUAAAGUAUUAUAUAAUUAUAUGGUUUUAAGUUUUCAACAAGAACAGGUUUAUUUUCAACAUCAACCACUUACUAGUAGCAAGUUCUUAAAGUUGUCGCUAUAAUUUGGAAAUCCUUUGUGUAGAGAAAUAAAAGAAUGGAUCCAGAUUUUAAACUGAAGAAAAUAAUUUCUACAGCCUUGAAUCUCCUGUAUUUUUACCCAUUCGAAGCUCUUUUUGAUGCCUAUUUAUAUAUAUUUCUUGUCAAAUAACAGCUCUCUCAGGUUCUCCAAUUGAUACCAAAAAGUAAACUGAAUGCAAUCUUUUAUCUUUGAACUGCUCAACUGUGCCCUUCUUCAUGUUCUUGUUAAUAAUGCCAGGUCUCCCAGGAGCACUCUCAUGCAAUUUUAUCACAUAAGCUUUUUGUUUGACCUUACCUGCUGUUCCCCUAGAACAUAAGGGGUGUGAAGGGGGGAAGCCAAAAUGCCAGCCUGCCUUAAUUAAAAUUUUGGUCUCAGAAGAUGUUACAGUAUGUGAUUUCAUUAGUUAUAUAAUGAAAGUAUUUAAUCAUACCUCUUACUUGUCUGGACCUUUUUACUUAGUAGUGAGGUCACUGAGUUUUAAACUGACUCUUUUCAGGUGUGGAAAAGUAACUGUGGGCUGGGUAUGCAUCUUUAGGCGAUCCAUAAAUUCAUUGUAUCCGUGAUUUCGUAUAUUUGCCCUAAAGGUAGUUGCUUGGAUGAUGAAGUAGGAGGCACUAAGUAAGAGUUCAGCAUUCUUUGCAAAACGUUUUUCCCCCAUGGGACAGCAAGCAUGCAUAUAAAUGUUUUUUUAAAAGAUAACGCUACUCCUCACCGCCAACACUUGGAACUUGGCAUCAUAGCAAAAGGGUAAAGGAAAAGAUAAUGGAUAUUUCUGUGGCAUAAGAAGCUCUAAAUCUUACAUGUACUAUGUGGUGUUACUUUCAUCAUUUCUCAUUGCCAUAAUCUAAAUCACCUCAAUAGUGGGCCUUCUACCUCCCAGAUAAAUUCAUUUGUUUAAUGGAGUAACUAUUCUCAAGGAAAAGUGUGCACAAAGCAUCCUAUCUUAGCUUUUGUAAAGAAAUAUCUUAUUCUAGCUUAUGUAGGAAAAGCAGAGUUUAAAAAAAAAAAAAAAUUGUGAGGCUCUGAUCCUACACAUCUUUUGAAAUGGGAGGGUUUACUUUGCUAGGGGAGUUGUGUUAUUCCCCUAAUUUUUUUUUUUUCCAUUUUGUUAGCAGCUUAGAAGUACCCCCAGUUGGCAGCAUUUUCUAAGUAGCACAUGAAACCAGCUAUGCUUCAGAUGCUCUGUGCUUUGGGUUUCUUCCAGCCCCCGGGGUUGCAAAACAAGUAAACCCAGGAUUUCAUAUAGCUUUUUGAGAAAGAAUAAAGCAAGGGGACAAGGAGGAGCAGUUCAGCUAGGUAAGACAGAUCCUACUCAGUUGAACCAAACUUGCCACAUUUCAGAGCUUUUAUCCAAAAAAAAAAAAAAAAUAUAUAUAUAUAUUUCUAUUAUAUCAGAGUAUUUUCAGCAGCAGUUUUUACCAAAUCCAACAAAUAGAUUGCUCUGAAAUAAUCCAAAACUGCAGGAAAUUUCCCAAUUUUAUUUCUUCUUCUGAAGCUAGAUGAAGAUAUUUUUGCACUAUUCAUUUUGUGGGAUUUAUAGCUUUGUAAACUAGAGAGAGAAAGCGGGUGGGGAAGAUAGACAAACUGUCUUUUAUCCAGUAUUUUUCUUCUUUCUUUUGUGAUAAUAAAUCUUACCAGCUCAUAUCUCUGACGCAUAUACAUUUUGCUGAGUUUCUUAAUGCAGCUGAAUAUGGCUCUUUCUCUGUGAGUCUGACAACAAGUCUGGCUAUUGAUCUGUUACCAGGUUAGGAAGCAUGAACGUUUUUUUAGCAAAGCUAUGGACAAUUUAGGGACCGAGAGCUAUGAUUCUGGCAGCAAUUAUGUUUCAAGACUCAAAGUUCAACAUCCUGCAGUUUUAUAACCCCAGCUCUGCUGGGAAUUAUUGGAGUCGCUGUCAUUGUAAUCACUUUAGGAAUACAUUUACAGGGUUAUGUGUUUUCAGUGAAUGUUACUGGAGCACCAUUAGCUAAGAAUUGUUUUGAUCUUGCGCAACUUGAAUGAAUCGAUGUCAUUAGUUUUAAAUUUUGAAAACAAAACUAACGUAAUACCCCGUGGUUUCCCCUGCAAGCUGUACUGCUGGAGUGGGAUGUGCUUUUACCUGAAAUGAAAGAAGCCAAGCUGUGAGUCACUUCUGUGAAAAGGCUUCUCUUGUUUUGUGAGGGUCUGAACUUGCAAAGUGCUGUGGGGAAAUGACUCUGUGUGCUGCUUUGGUUUUUGACAUGUGCUGUUUUAUGUGUGUUUUAAGCUACCUCAUACCUCCAAGUUUUCUGUUGCUUCUUAAGAGUCCUUUAUUUCAGGCAUAGGUAAUCUUAGUGGUUUUUUUCCUUUGUAUGUAUGUGAAAACUAAAUAAAAUAAUUGCUUGGUCUUAUGUUUUGAGGAGAAAGGACGGAUUUUAGCAUUUAACUAUUAUGUAUUUGUCCUUCUAUCUCAGACAGUAUCCAUUUCAUACCAAUAAAUUUUCUGUGAUUUCUUCAAGUAGAAUAUAAAGUUCAAGUAUCUUACUAAGUCAAGACAUUUUUAAGUGUAUUGCAGAGAGAAGCAGACAGAGUAGGAGUGGAUUGAUCAACUACAGUAGAUUUGCUUUGCAGCAUGUUUUGAAUUUUAGGUCCAAGCUUAAACUACAAAAUUGCUUACAAAGUAAUCUGGAUUCCAGCUGCACAAGGUGCAGUUUAAAUCUCCAAACUCACACAGAAAAUAACAAUAGGAGGGAGACAUUAAUUAAUAUGUCCUCUGUGGUAGUCUUCUGAACUGAAGAUGCUUUGAGUUGAGGCUAAAAUCAAAAUCAGCUUAAACUUAUAGAUUAAGUUUAAGGUUUUAUGAGACAUUAUUCCAUCAUUUGCAGUAAAACUUGCCAGAUAAUGGUAAACCACAUAAUGACAAAAACCCCAACAUUUUCCUCAGGCAAUUAAAUGUGCACCCAAUUCUAGCAUGUAGCACCUGGACAUGAGAAGCCAGUCUGAACACAGUGCCUUGGAGAAGUGCUUCUCUAGAGAAAGAGUGCAUAGGGAUGGUAUUGUGAUGUCCACAUAGGAGGUGAAACACCUGGUGGCAAUCCAGUACUUGAGAGUCUCACAUGAGGUAAGGAGUGUCAUUAGGAGGGACUGGUAGACCUCUGUAUCAAAGGGCUUUGUUCUGGCUGCCCUUGGCUGAAUUCCUGCUCUUGCUUGGGCUGAGAAGGGAUCUCAUUAUGCAGCUUCCACAACUUGGACAACUAUCCUAUGCAAGGUUCUCCAAUUAGCCUAUAUUUCCUUCUGUUUUACGGGUAACAUUUAGGGCCUGUUUGAGAAUCAAAAGGUUCUUUGUGAUGCUUUAGAGGAUGUGGUUUAGUGGUGGACUUGACAGUGUCAGGGCGAUGGUUGGACUUGAUGAGUUUAGCUAUCUUUUCCAUUCUAAACAAUUCUUUGAAUCAAUUCUAUGACUUUGUGAUUCUAAGACAUUGUUUGAUCUUACUGAACAGCUUGCUUCAGUUUUUUUCUUCCUUUCAGUAUUGCAAAUCCUUUGAGAUGGACCAGCUCAAAGCUUUUUGUAAUAACUUUUGUCAGAACUUUACCAAACAUACUAACAUGUAUGACUGAAUUGUAGUUUUACAAUGGCAUUUCUUCGUCUCUGAUUAGUAAUUUAUCACAGGCAUUUUAAAUUUCUAUGAUUAUAAAGUAAAAGCUACAUGCAGCCACUUUAAUACUUUGCCCAUAGCUUAUUUGAAAAAGUAAAGGAAAAUAUAGCCUAGCAAAAUUGUGAGAACGGAUACUGAUCAUAUUCUUCAGUCUACAAAGUCUACUUUGACUGAUGAACAGUACUCCAGCCAGGGCAAAGUAAACUAAAAUAGGCCAGAAAUAUCCCUUAGAAUAUCCGCAGUACACGGGUGAACGGUGCUUGUGAAGUGAACUGGGUGGCAUUACCAGUAUAUGAUCAAAGGGAGGAGAGACUGGGAAGAGGAUCCUGUCUCACAUGCAAAAGAUUAGUCUUUUUCUUGGAAGACAUGAAAAGCAUUAAGAGCUGACUAACAUUUUCCUAAGUAUUUCAAGUCUAGAACAUGUAAUUUAAUGCUCUGAAUAAUACUGGACAAAGACCACAUUCUGAUAAUAUCUUUAUUCACAGAACUUCUUAUUAAACUGAUGCAUAUCUUGUAGCAAGAUGUCCCUCCUUUAGUUAGGGGUUUCAAGUGAUAAAAAUGUGCUUUGUCUCUGGGUAAAUUGCCUCCUUGUUAAUUACAGGGUCUGUUGAAACUUUAAAUUUUAUUUCUAAUCUCAACAGUUCUAGGUUUAUCUUCCAGCCAUGUAAUUUUAUUAUACCAUUUUCUGCUCUGUUGCAGAACUAUGGUUGUGGUUUAACCCCAGCAAGCAACUCAGCCCCAUGCAGCCACUCACUCACUCACUCUCUCAAGUGGCAUGGAGGAGAGAAUCAGAAAAGUAGAAAGCAUGCAUGAUGUCAUAUGGUCUGGGAUAUCCCUUUAGUCAGUUGGGAUCAACUGUCCUGGCUUUGUCACCUCCCAGCUUCUUUGAGCACCCCCAACCUCCCCCUGGUGGGGUGGUAUGAGAAGAAGAAAAGGCCUUGACUUUGUGUGAGCACUGCUCAGGAGUAACUAAAACAUCCAUGGAUUAUCCUGCUGUUUUCAGCAUAAAUCCAAAACUCACUCACAGAGUAGCUACUAGAAAGAAAAUAACUCUGCCCUGGCCAAAACCAGCACAACUAUCUACUUGCAGAUGCCUCUAUGUCUUUUGAGUAAGUUGAACAGAGUGUGAGCUCAUUAGGUCUUCCAGGAAGAGGUGCACUUUCUGAGCUUGGAACAUGUUUGUAGCUUUCUUCUCAGCCCUGAUCAGUUUUGAGGAGUCUUCUGUAAAGGUAAUAACCAUCUGUGUGCAGAAGCUUUUGCUGUUAGACUGUUUUCAGGACAUUGCAGGGUAUUCCCUUGUGUUCGCACCAAGAGGUGGUGCUUGCUCCCCUUGGCUUUUUCAUGGGAGCUCAAGUUCAAUAUCUUCCCAGAGCUCCUGGCAGUUGCAGCAAAGGCUGAGCUGGUCUUGACCUGCAAGAGGGAGGGAGGUAGGGAACCAGAAAGGCACUACAGUAGUUGCAGAGCAGGCAGGAGCAUGACCACAUCUGUGUAGCAUUUCGCCCGGCUCAAUCACCUGGCUUGAGGUUUCCCUUUUGACUUUCUCUUGGGCUUUUCUUGUCUAAGCCACUGAACUAUGUUGCCAAGGUUACCUGCAUUUUGGGUGGCACUACACUGAGUGAAGUGGAAAGCAAGCAGGUGAGCUCUCAAAUCAUGUCCCAUCAAAACCACUGUUAUUUUAUGUAUUUGCAUUGGAUGCACUUGGAUGCAAGGACUCUGUUGAAGAGUUAGGAGUACAGUAAGACUUGCAGUUCAGGGACUCAACACCAGACUGCUGCACUUCUCAAAGUGCUGAUUACUCUUUACUAGCUGUGCUGAUACACGUAUUACAAAGCUGUCUUACUAAUACAUGCUUCAAAUCUAAAAUGAACGGCACCCAACAUGGGUGUGCCAUUCCUGAAGUGUCUGUGCUGAGGCCAGCAGAGCACCACACAUGCUUUAAUUACAACUCUGAGUGACACUACUGGCAGAGGUGUAAGACCACUGCAUUUUGUGAUUUGAGCUUCCAGGAAAUUAAAACAUUUGUGGGUCUUCCAUGCAGUCUUUCUUCCCUGGGAUGUUAAAGUUAGAUGACUUUCAGCAUGGUGAUGCAGACUGUAAAGGUUCAGAGUAUUACCUUGAUUGUAUGACAGCCUCUUCCAUUUCAACUGCAAUCCAAGGCUCAUCUUUCCUCUGAGGCAUUCAUUGAAAUUCUGCGCACGAUAUGUUCCUCUGGUUGUUUAACAAUGUCUCUCAUGUUUGCCCUGAUUUAAAAAAUCCUCCUUUGUAGCAGAGAUAACAUAGAGCAGGAUGAUAUAAUUGCAGUAAAGAGGCCCUGGAGCUUGCAGUAAUAGGAUGGUUCAUCUGAUGUGUACUGCCAUUAGAAAAUAACCCACGUAUGUAUGUUCUCGGGGGACAGUAAAGAGGCUUUUAAGGAUUUCUCUGUAUGUAGUAUGAAAGCUAAUGAGUAAAAGAGCAAGUGCAAAGAAAACUAUUGCUGCAUAAGCAUGGUGCCACUUCCAGUUCUCAGUUAUUUCCUUACACCUCUCUAGCUCCAAAACAUCCAUCUCUGCCCAGUAAUGUGUGGGUUUUCAUGCACUGCAGUUGGUUUGAGACUUUUGCAGACUUUUGAGAAAACUGAAUUAUUUUCAUUUCACUGUAAAGUGAAAAGCAUGGCAGAGCUAAGUUGAGGAUUAAAACUGCUGUGUGUGUACAAAAUAAGUAAUUUUGGGGGAAUAGCACUCUCUAAUGGUCUGUGCCCCCUAAAAAACAAAAAAAUAGAUUUUGCUAUAAUAAUAAUACAGUUUUACAAGCAUUGCUGAAAGGUUGAUAUUAGCCUCAAUUCUCUGACCUUCAUUCUUUUUCCUGGGCACUGUGCAGAAAUAUACGAAGACAUAACACAAUAAACAGUGAAGGACUUUUUCAAAUGUUACAUGUAGAAUUUGGCCUGUGGUGGUAGGAGAUCCAGAGUAUCUGGUUUCUGAUAUUAACAACUUUUUGUCCAAAUGGAUUGGCAUGUAGAAUAACAAUUCUUCCACUUGUAUUUGUGCUGAAAUAGAAGCCAUUUAGCAAAACAGACGUUGGCUUCUUUGUUUUGUCACAGCAUUUUUUCUCUUGCUUAUAGAGCUUGUUAUAGAUAAAAAAAUUAAUUCACCUUUUAAUACUCUGUACUCCCUCUGUACUGUUGGAAUAUAUUUUUGUACCUUAUCAGAGUUUUGUGUUCAAUAGAAUGGAUGAACUUGGAUUUUUCUUUAUAUAUUUAACACAGUAAAGGAUCAGGCUUUGCUAUCAGGUAAAAUGAAGCAGCCUUACCUAGGUUGUAGAACUUUGCAGAGGACAUUGGAUUUUGACUAAAUGCUAUACUGGGGUUCUGCAGCAAGGUCUGACAUUAACUUCAUUUCAUUCCAAAGGGUACUGAUCAUAAAAAAGUCCAUGAAUAUUAAAUAAGGAAGAGGUGACAGCCAGCAUUGUUGCAAGAAUACACGCAUGCCAAUAACCUUAUUAAACAUCCCUUGUUUCUACGCACAAGUUAGGGGAAUAAAUAGUCAAGAGUACCUCCUUCUGGACCUAAAAAGUGACCUAUUUUCCUGUGAAUCUAGGAGGAUUCAGGAUACAACCUCUUUACUCCCAUUGGAUCAAAUUGGAAGUAUGUUAGAGUGCAUGGGAGGUAUUUUUCUCUUUGUAUUGAUGCUUUUCUGUGUGGUCAGAGGAUUGCAAAGGGCUCACAGAGGGAGUAGGAAAAAGGUCUUAGUUUCAGGGUUGCAAGCAGUACUCUGUGUGUUGGGACAGGGGUAAAGAGUGCCCAUGCCCUAUGUGCAGGAGAAAUUCCUGAAGUCCUUGAAGAGUAAUAAGACUGUUAAAUUAAUAAUUUGUAGCCUAGUAGACUUCAGCUUUUAAGCCCAUCUCCUUUUCAUAUUCCUGUACCUAAAACAUGGAGUGGUUAUGUCAUGUACUAAGCAGUGUUUGAUAAUACAGAGGAGAUUUUCAGGGUGGAGAGUGUGUGUUCAUGUAUCAUUGGAACUAGAUGAUCUUUAGGGUCCCUUCCAACCAAAGCCAUUCUGUGUUUUUGUAAUACCCCUAUGAGAUCAUGCCUACAUGUUUGUCAUAAGUGUAGCUCCUUCAACAUUUCCAUAAGUUUUUGUUUCAGUCUGAUACUCAUGUCUGUAUAGGGUAAUACAUUUGUCAUAUUUGGAAAAUGUGAAACACGAAACUGAGGGGGAGAGAGCGCUGCGUAUUCAAACAUACAGCAGGGCAUUAGCACUAGUCUGACUAAUGGUAAUGCAAUCAUAUUUACUAGACAUAAUGGAAGGGUUUUCUAGUUGACCCAAGUGGUGUCUGUCUGUCUCUGCAGAACUCCAAUCCACCACCUUGUGCCAGUGCAUCACGAUCCAAUUCUGUGAGCCCAAAUCCAAUGUUCAGUUAGAGUCUCCAAAUGUGUCACUUGAUCCGCGAUCCACCAUCCAUCUAUCGCUCUUUACACAUCUGGGACUUAUUUUAACAACCACAAGUGGCAUGAGAUGAAUUAUCUGUUGCUGCUUCUGCUGUCAGUUGACACCUCUCUAUUAAACUUCCAGUCUUGCAAAUACCAGAAUAGUAGUGCUAAAUUUUUUAUUUCUGUCCUGUAUCCCUCCCCCCUAUAAUUGGUAUACUGGAGCAGAAAAGGACUUGCAAUUUUGUUAUUGCUGUAUAAGCCUUCUGUAAACUCAGUUACAGCACUUCUGAUGUUGGUAAUUUUUACAACUAAAAAAUAUGCUGACACUGUGUUUGGGCAUAGGAAAAGAGCAAAUUUGAAUGUAUAAUAAUCUAGUGAUUUUGGGAGAUGUUUGAUGCUAUAUCCCAUCCAACUUAAUCACUCAUGGAAUUUUUUUUUAUAUUAUUUGCUCAAUUGACUGGAGGCAUUAAUCUCAUAUCUGUGUAAAGGCAUCUUUAAUGCCAAAAACUUGAUCAGAAAUACCCAACAUUUCUCUGACAUAGAACAGAUUUUGAAGGAAAGCUAUCAGUUGAAAAUAGAGCAGCAGAAACAGAGACAUUGUUGCUUUAUUUUUCUUACAUAAUGAAGAAAUACCCAGAUGAUGAUUUUCAAUUCGUGAGGUAUAUUGAACCAUGUAUCGUAUUCAUGAAUAUAAAUUGAGCAGACGUGACACAUUUUUCAUAUAAAGAUGACACAGAGUUGCUCCUUCUGGUAGUUCUUUGUCUGAAAUAUGCUUAUUCUAAGAACAUCACUACAGAGUUAAUAGUGCACUGCAUAACUGCAUGUUAAAAAGGGAGUGUUAAAGAAACAUCUUAAAGAGAAAUUAUUCAUAGAUUUAUAAUACUUAUGGCUUGCCACAUUUUUCAAGGACAGGAUCUUUCUGCAUCUUCCUUUUCUUUCCUACUUUUUCUGCAAAAUUCUUCAUCUCUAAAUAUUAGCAUCACCCAGCCAGCCCACUUCCAUCUGCCUAUGCUCAUUCUCAGGCUAGAUCAUGUUGCUGCUGAGCGGCGCACCAUUUGUGCUUUACUUCCCAUCCACGCUUCUACCUCAUUAGCAGCUUGGCUCUCCAGAUCAUCCAGUCUCUGCCCGUUUCUCAGUUAGUCCUAGAAGGGUUGUCCCAGGAGAAAACCUGCAAUCCUGUGGUGACUUUGAACACAGAGUUAGUAAUAGGUUAAAACGGAAGCAUCAGCUUCUCAUACUUGUGCAGGCACUUGUGUGUCAGCAGUGUUCCUACUGAAAAAUGGUGAGAACACUCUCUAAUUUAUGAUUUUCCUCCUUUGACAAAUAUGAAACUAGUAGGAUGGAAUAUGACCCUUAAUAUACUCUAAUUACAUAAAAAACCCCUUGCAAAUAGGAGCCAGUGUGCAUACAGAUGUUCUUCUUGAUUAAAAUAAAGCCUUCUCUGUUUACAUCAUGCUAGGAAGUAGCAUUACAAGAAAGAUAUGAGGGUAAGAUAAGAAAUGUGACCUGAAAGAAACUGUCAGAUUAGACUAAGAAGGCCAAGUACUGGUGUCUUUGAAGUUGAUGGGAGUUUUGCCACUGAGAAAGUAGCCAAAAGACAGUAGCAUCCUGUGUCUCUUUAAGGAUUUACAGUCCUGCACUGCAGUCAGACAUCCCUCAAGGAGGUCUCUGCCACAGGGUAAAAGAGCAUAACAAAGGUGUGCUGCCUGUUCAGCCUGCCUGAGCUGUCAGCUCACAGAAUUUGUUUAUUGCACUUCAAUUUUCCUUUCCACUAACGCUUCUCUAGAAA